GACGAACGCUGGCGGCGUGCUUAACACAUGCAAGUCGAGCGGUAAGGCCCUUUCGGGGGUACACGAGCGGCGAACGGGUGAGUAACACGUGAGCAACCUGCCCUUCACUUCGGGAUAAGCCUCGGAAACGGGGUCUAAUACCGGAUAUCACUCCUUACUUCAUGGUUUGGGGUUGAAAGUUUUGGCGGUGGGGAUGGGCUCGCGGCCUAUCAGCUUGUUGGUGGGGUAAUGGCCUACCAAGGCGUCGACGGGUAGCCGGCCUGAGAGGGCGACCGGCCACACUGAGACUGAGACACGGCCCAGACUCCUAUGGGAGGCAGCAGGUGGGGAAUAUUGCGCAAUGGACGGAAGUCUGACGCAGCAACGCCGCGUGAGGGAUGACGGCC
rnacentral:rRNA from 1 species